AUUGAACGCUAGCGGUAUGCUUUACACAUGCAAGUCGAACGAGUGGCGGACGGGUGCGCAAUCUAUCGGAACGUGGCUAGUAGCGGGAGAUAACUACUCGAAAGCGUGGCUAAUACCGCAUACUAUUGGUGCGGCCGUUAUCGGAUUAGCUAGUUGGUGGGGAAAAGGCUCACCAAGGCGACGAUCCUUAGCUGGUGUGAGAGGCAGACCAGCCACACUGGGACUGAGACACGGCCCAGACUCCUACGGGAGGCAGCAGUAGGGAAUUUUGGGCAAUGGGGGAAACCCUGAACCAGCCAUGCCGCGUGUAUGAGAAGGCCUUCGGGUUGUAAAGUACUUUUGUUAGAGAAGCGGUAUCUGCAGAAUAAGCACCGGCUAACUACGUGCCAGCAGCCGAGGUAAUUC
rnacentral:rRNA from 1 species